UCCGACUUAGCUCAGUUGGUAGAGCACCUGACUGUUAAUCAGGNNUCGAGCCCGGCAGUCGGAG
rnacentral:tRNA from 1 species